rnacentral:rRNA from 1 species
GCGGAACCGGGUGCAGCGGCCGGGGUAGAGCGGGGGGGUGAAGCGUUAUUCGGAAUUAUGGGGCGUAAAGGGCGCGUAGGCGGUUUCUUAAGUCGGAUGUGCAAUCCCUGGGCUCAACCCAGGAACUGCAUCCGAGACUGGGAGGCUAGAGGACUGGAGAGGUUGGUGGAAUUCCUCGUGUAGCGGUGAAAUGCGUAGAGAUGAGGAGGAACACCAGUGGCGAAGGCGGCCAACUGGACAGUAACUGACGCUGAGGCGCGAAAGCGUGGGUAGCAAACAGGAUUAGAUACCCUGGUAGUC